rnacentral:rRNA from 1 species
UACGGAGGGGGCGAGCGUUAUUCGGAAUUAUUGGGCGUAAAGGGCGCGUAGGCGGCCCGGUAAGUCAAAGGUGAAAUCCCUCGGCUCAACUGAGGAACUGCCUUUGAAACUGUCGGGCUUGAGGCCGGGAGGGGGUAGCGGAAUUCCCAGUGUAGCGGUGAAAUGCGUAGAUAUUCGCAAGAACACCAGUGGCGAAGGCGGCUCACUGGCCCGAUACUGACGCUGAGGCACGAAAGCGUGGGGAGCAAACAGG